rnacentral:rRNA from 1 species
UACGAAGGGGGCGAGCGUUGUUCGGAUUUACUGGGCGUAAAGGGCGCGUAGGCGGCCCUUCCUUGUCGCGUGUGAAAGCCCCGGGCUCAACCUGGGAACUGCAUUCAAAACUGACAAGCUAGAGUAUGGUAGAGGGUGGUGGAAUUUCCUGUGUAGCGGUGAAAUGCGUAGAUAUAGGAAGGAGCACCAGUGGCGAAGGCGACCACCUGGACUGAUACUGACACUGAGGUGCGAAAGCGUGGGGAGCAAACAGG